GAACACCUCCUUGGUCAGCUUGAAACAAGAAAGCUUCCAGUCCUUGCUCCCCGUCACGUUCACGAUGUCGUGGAGAGUGUCCGUCGCGUACAGCAGCAACAAUCCGUUGUGAAUAAUCCUUCGUAACAAGAUGCCCUCGAAUAAAAGGCGAAACUCGGGUUGCGACAAAGGAAGCGAGGAAUCGAUGCGACGCUGAAAAGAACGGAACAGGCAACGAUAUUUUAACGUUCGAAGGGAGCCAUAUUUCAGAAGACGCAUCGCUUUACGAUCCAACUUCGGUUUUACGAGAUUUUACACCGGAUCUCUCUCUACACCGGUUAGACAGAAAUAUCACAUUCAAGAAUUUCUGUCUAAAUCUUAUUUUUCGGCGUUUCGAAAGAAGAGAUUGGACAGAUAAAUAAACGCCGAUCUCUCUCCCUUUCGACCUCGAAACACUCCCAUUCCUUCCAGGAUAUGAUACGAUGCUCCAAAAGCGCAGUUUUCAUUUAAACAACAUCCAACCAACCCCGCAUAACACGAUCCAUGGAUGAAAAGACUGAAACCAGUGUUCCGUAAUCAACUACCCUUUCUCCCUUCCCCUUUACAAUAGAUACAGAAUACUCGUGUAACGUUGGCAAAAUUCGCGGAAAAAAGAAAGAGAAAAAAGAAAAAAAAAACACCGCAACUUUUGAGCUAGAGAAUAACUCGCGACAUCCUAAUUCGAACAAAGGUGAGAAAGGGAAAGGGACAAAGAGGGAAGGAGCACGGAAACGGCGUUGAAAAGGUGAAGAGGUCUCGCGUGGGUUCGUGGAAACAAUCGUUGGGGGAGGAGGGUUAAAGAGAACAGUUGUCGCUCACCAACGGCAGGCAUUCACGCGGUUGCUCUCCCUCGGGCAGCGUGGUGAUGAGGAAGAGGACAGGACUGGUGACGAGCAGGCUGGUGACGAGCAGCAUCGCGAACGUGAGCAGCGCCUUGUGCACGGCCUUACUUCGUCUGAGCCAGUAACAUGGCACGCAGCAUAUCCAGGUACCUUGCUGCGCGGCCCUCUCCACGUGCACCUACGCACAUUUCAAUAAUCGAAUGAAUGUAUCGUUCCUUGAAAAAAAAAGGAAGGAACGUUCGAUACGUAUAUCGUUCCUUCGAUCGUUUCACCGUGUGAUUCGAUAGAUAAAUAUCAAAAUCAAGCGGUGAUUGUUAUUUUUCUCGACGUUUCUGUCGAUAAAAUCCGUGCGACGCGUCGUCUUGUUAACGAUUUUCGCGAGUGCACCGAAGAGAAAAGCGCGAAGAAGAGAGGUUGAGAAGAGAAGGUUGGAAUUGCUUUAAUACGGGGAAGACUCCUCUUGGAAGGAAUCCUCUUUAUUAGUAAAGAAAAUCGUUUAAAGGGAAAACACAGGUGGGAUGGAAAAGGAAUGUCGAGGAAAAUGGAACGUCAACACUGUGCCAGUCGAGGAUUAGACGUUAAGACGUGGUCGGGGUGAUAAGGGGUGAAAACUAAAGGAGGAGAGGAGGAGAAAAUUAAUUGGAUGGAAUAAAUAAGAAAGAAACACUCACCAUUGGCUCGUCCGGAAGGCCGGAUCCCUCCUCGGUGCCAGGAUUAUUUCCGGUUCCAGCCGCGGUUCCACCGGGUCCAGCCCCCCCCUGUACGUGCACAUGUGCGCCACCUCCGGCCCCAGGGGCGCACAGAGUGCGAGGACUCAGGGGUAGCCUCACGCUUGCCUCGCCACGGGAUCUACCCCCGCCCCCACGGGCCCCACGGCCCCCGUAACCCCGGCUCACCGUGCACAAAGCCACAUUUGCCGGGUCCCGCGGAACUCCCUUAGCUCUUCAAAGCCCGCCAAAACUUCUCCAGCCGCCCUCCCUCGCCGCCGAUCGAUGGAUCAAACCACCGACCGGAUCCACCGCCCUCCCUUCCGCUCCUGCAUCUUUCUAGUCUAUCGCCAGAGAAAUCUGUGGGAAAAAUUAAUCGAGAAAUUAAUUCUUCCUUUUUUCUCUCUCUCUUUCGCUUUGAAAGAAUUUUCCGACAGUUGUCGGUCGAAUAUUUUUCACGAUGGAUCGUUUUUCGAAUCGCGAGAAUUCGGAAGAAAGGAAUUUGUCGUCGAGUUGAAGGAGGAAACGCGUUAUAUUUCCGUAAAAUUCGUUUCUUUCUCGCGAUAAUUCGAUGGAACGUGCGUGACGCUUGCCUCGUCCCGCAGAAUCUCUGUGAAAACUCGUGGCUUCGCAAAGAGGGGGGAGAGAGGGGGAUGGAUAUUGGAAAUAUCUAGCGCAAAUUAGAUUUAAAUCGUAGUUUCGUGCGCGGAUUCUAUCGUUCGAUCACGUUUCGUCGAAUACACACGCGAUUGUAAUAAUAAGUCGGCGUUUAAUCCCGGCCCACUUCCGCCGUGACUCAUUGGUCGGAAGGUGGCGCAAAAGAAAUUCAGAAUAAGUGGUAGGGACUCGGAUGUAGAUAAAGCGAGAUUUAUAAAAGCCAAGGUUACGCACGAAUUAAGUCGUUCUCCGUAUCAUGAAAAGCGAUCUUAGAGUCUACUAAAUCGCCUUCACGAGAAGCCUCGGUUUAAUCUGGAUUACUUCCAAGCUGUUUCCACCGUGGGAUUUCUAAUUUAUGCGCAUUUCUUUGUCGCGGCAAAACGCACCGUUCCAUCCAAACCGUUUCUUCUCUCCUUCCCCAAAAAAAACCCCAACAAACGAUCAAAACGAAGUAAUCGGCCAAGAAUAUCUUGAUAAAAAGUUUGGAUCUCGAUCCACUUGUUUAUCCGACGAUAGUUCAACAAUCUUUUUCUUCUCUCUUUUUCUUUUCUUUUUUUUUUUUUUGUUUUUUACUUGAAAUUUGCAAAUCGAAUCGAAUCGACAGCUUUUUCUUAUUGUCUUGUGCAACAAUCCUAUCUGCUCAGCGAAUAAUUCCGUUAGUCGAAUCACGUGUAGACAGAUAUCGCGAAGAAAUGUCUGAUUUUUCUUUCUAUCAAAAGUUCUAAAGCAAUAAUAUUCGUUCGAGAAACGGGGAAAAAUGCAGCGGGAUUAAUAAAAAUUUCAAUCUUAUCUCUCUUCGCUUCUCAAAUUCAUCGGUAUUACGAAACCGUUUCUUCGCGAAUGAUAAACAAUUUUUUAUCGAAAGCUCGUCUAAUAAUAAUAAGAAAAGCACGGUGCACGUCCCCUUGACGUGAAACUGACGUCAUUCACAGAGACAGAUUUUUCGUUUCGAAAGGAGGGAAAAAAACAUGCACGUCUUUCUUAUUUAUUUCAUUCGAUUACUUGCUUCGCCGCUCGAAAUAUUACUCAGAAUAAAAUAACCGAUCCGUCUUUCGAAAGUUUCGAAAAUUCUAACCGAAGCUGAAAAAAAAAUGAAUUUUUCUUUUUCACCUUUGAGAGAAUUAUUUCGUCGGGAAAUUCACGGAGGUGAAGGGAAAAUUAUUAUUGGCAUCGGUAUUUUCGAAGCGCAAACGUCAUAAAGAAACGAUAAGGGAUAAAAACCGAUCGAUCGAUCGAUCGAUUAAUAAAGAUUUAUAUACCGGGCCGAUAAUAAUUCUAACCAAGAUUUACGAUGGCGCACGAGUGAACUGGGCCGAUCACCGCCGUCGAAAUUGAUGAAAACAAGCGCAGCAGACGCGUCGUCGCAGGAGGGUUUAUUCAUAGGAGUAACACGUAAGCGAGUGAUAUAUUCGCCGAUUAUUUUUUGCAUCGGGUUAAAAAUAUUCAGGGCCGAUGGGAGAUCACAUUUUCCAGUCAAUGGAGUACGUGAUCGAGGCCUGAGGGGGUUGCGGUGGCGAAAAGAAAAAUGUAAACGAACUGGUGGGGGCGAAAGGGAAAGCUGGAUCGAGGGACGAAACGUAAAUCCAGAGAAGAACCGGACAGAAACAUCUAUCUCUUCCUCGUCCCAUUUUCUCCCUCUCUCUCCCUCUCUCUCUGUCGCGUUAUCUCGCGAGAAUGUCUCGCGUGUUUUUCUUUCUUUUCCAAAGUUUCUCUCGGAUGGAUUCGAAUCGAUUGGAAUGCAUGAACCGAGAACGGUCGAUCUCGGCGAAAUGUUUGCGCGCGGCCACUAAAACUUUUCGAGCGGAAGGGGGAUUUCGGAAAUUGUCGCUCGCUUCUGUUCGAGAUGCGUCUCGAAUCGAGAAAAAGUUAACCUUGGGUUAAUCGAAUCGGCGCGAAAUCUCUUCGAUAUUUUUAGGGUAUAUUCCUGCGUUUAUCCGCGUUUAUCCGUGCGCGGAUGAAUUCGAAGCUCGAAACUCUCAGGAAGGAUCGAUGUCGAGGAUCGGUUUCUUCUUCUUUCGAGAAAUUUAUAUAUAUAUCGUGUCGAGGAAUAAAAGAGGAAGAAUUGGGAUGCGUGGUGUGAUCGUUUUCGAAAGAAGACGAAGAAGAACUAUUGUUUUUCUCGCGUCUGGGGUGAUAAAAUCGCGAGAACUACGGGAGCAAGUUUGACGAUGCGCCGUGGUAGGAGGAAGAAUGUCAAACAUUACACGUAAACAGUUACGCGAGUCUCGUGCUGAUUCAGCUCGUUAACAGCCUCAUUAACGAAAAUGCAAACCGGUGUCUUGCACGAAAGUUCCUGCGAUUAAUCUUUCUUUAAUCUUGAAAUUUUUAGAUUAGGAUUCAAAACGGUGUUUUUGUGUAACUGUCUGAUAUCCGUGUCACUUUAGAAAAUAGAUUUAUCGUACGAAACUUUCCGAUUCAAUUUUCAAAUAAACUUAACCGCUUCAAUUAUAAA